AGCCAGUUGACUUGCGAGUCCAUUCACUUGGUGGAGGUCAUGUUGGAUUAAUAAUGUCACACAAGUUAUUUGUGGUUAGGCAUUAUUCUUUCAAUCAUGUGCCGCAGAAGCCAAGGACCGUAGUUUACCAAACCCAUCUUGGCCUAUUUUUAGGAACGUAGUGCGGAGGUCGUUCAGAUGUAAGUUCUGAUGCGAUUGUUACGCGAUACUACACUCAUAAGAGUUUCUCUUGAGAAUAUUUUUGGAAUACGAGUAUUCGUUCCUCCGAUAAUAUUCGAAAGAUGGAACGAUGAUUAUGGGAACCUCUGAUAGAACAUGUCUGGCAGGUUUAAAC
rnacentral:lncRNA from 1 species